AGCUGGCCGGAGCACAACAAUUGCAGAAGGUCUCUUUGGAUAGUUAGAAAUUCUAUAAUUCGGGUGAUUCGUGGUCAAGAGCGACAGUGUGUUUUGUGCUGAUUGCCGUUCUUAUCUGCUGGUGGAUAGCGGCCGCGCGUCUGCUACUUGGGCCGAGGGGUGAUCCUACAACAGACCGAAGAAAUGAGGUCGUAGGCUACGUCAAGGGUUGGUCCGUCCUCGAGCACUCCUGCGAACAAAAUAAACUCGGGUGAUCAGGCCGUUCUAAAUUGCCGGGGAGGUUAACACUCACAGGGCUGCCUGCCACAGUCGGUCGCCUUACAGGUCACUCCCGGCUGGGGGGGGGGG